rfam:Candidatus Carsonella ruddii DC, complete genome.
GUCUCGUUCGUCUAUAGGUAGGACCUUGCUCUUUCACGGCGAAAAAAAGGGUUCGAAUCCCUUACGAGAUA